UGGCGGCGAGAAGGAGCGUUCUCUCUCUUCUCUCACUUGUUAUUCUCUCUUCUCCUCUAUUGACGUGUGAGUCAUCUCUCUCUCUCCCUCUCUCCUUUUUCCCGGAAAAUUCUCUCUCUAGAAUUCAUGUCGGACAACGGUAGACCACUGCCAAAAUUUGGUGAAUGGGAUGUUAAUGACCCUGCUUCUGCUGAAGGUUUUACUGUGAUCUUUAAUAAGGCUAGGGAUGAGAAAAGAACUGGUGGCCAACCUGAGUCACCAGCAAAUGUGGAAAAUAAUGUUAAGCAGGGAGUGGAGCCUAGCAAGCCUCAAACUAAAAAAUGGUUUUGUUGCUUGCAAGCCCCCCGUGCAGAAUCUUGACAAGGCAAGUUGGCCUCCUGUCAAGAGUUUCAAUACAAAAGGAUGUUUAUAUGUAACAGGCCCCACCAUAUUUUCCUUAAGAUCAGAAUUGUAGAGCUUGAGAAGUGUCCUUAUGGAAUUCUUGUUGUGUGCUGUAGAACUGUGGUGUUGUGGGGAAAGAGUAAGAGUAUGGAUGAAAGAAGACAAACGAUAUAUUGUAUCAAAUAUGUACUGAUUUGGUGGCUGUGAUUAGAAGCUGAGCUAUUUGUUUCUGUCUCUUUCUUCUCUCCUGCUAUGAGCUGUAGAGAGAUUGUUUGUGACAAUUUUUUCCCCAUUAUUGUAUUAGUGGAGUGCUUUUGGCUUUCC